UCCGGGUUUCGCCCGGCAGUCUCCCUAGAACAUUCAACUAAUGAUAGGGGUUGCGCUCGUUACGGGACUUAACCCAACACCUCACGGCACGAGCUGACGACAGCCAUGCAGCACCUGUGCACGGGCUCCGAAGAGGGGCCCCCGUUUCUGAGGGCUUUCCCGUGUAUGUCAAGCCUAGGUAAGGUUCUUCGCGUUGCGUCGAACUAAACCACAUGCUCCACCGCUUGUGCGGGCCCCCGUCAAUUCCUUUGAGUUUCAGCCUUGCGGUCGUACUCCCCAGGCGGGGUACUUCCUGCGUUAGCGCCGGCACCCAGAGGGUCGCUCCCCCAGGCACCUAGUACCCAUCGUUUACGGCGUGGACUAC
rnacentral:misc_RNA from 1 species